CCGGCGCACGGGUGAGUAACGCGUAUCCAACCUUCCCAUUACUGUGGGAUAACCUGCCGAAAGGCAGACUAAUACCGCAUAGUCUUCGAUGACGGCAUCAGAUUUGAAGUAAAGAUUUAUCGGUAAUGGAUGGGGAUGCGUCUGAUUAGCUUGUUGGCGGGGUAACGGCCCACCAAGGCUACGAUCAGUAGGGGUUCUGAGAGGAAGGUCCCCCACAUUGGAACUGAGACACGGUCCAA
rnacentral:rRNA from 1 species